GGGUGUCCCUGUCACCCCAGUGGGGCAGGGGAUGCGUCACCCCCGCGGGGACGGGGGGGUGGCACCGGUGUCACACCGCAAAGGGGUUGUGUCACCCGGCUAGGGACCGGGGUUGUCACCCUGCUGGGGACAGGGGACACUCUGAUGGGGACACGGUGUUGUGUCACCCUGCUGGCGACAUGUCACCCCUCCUGACACCCUGCUGGGGACACAGGGGUUGUCACCCAGGUGACAAUUUGCUGGAGACUACGGUUGUGUCACGACACUGGGGACAGGGGAUGUGUCACCCCACUGGGGACCGGGGCUGUCACCCUGCUGGGGACAGGGGACACUCUGGUGCGGACACAGUGUUGUGUCACCCUGCUGGGGACAUGUCACCCCUCCUGACACCCUGCUGGGGACACAGGGGUUGUCACCCCCCUGAUAAUUUGCUGGGGACUGCGGUUGUGUCACAACACCAGGGACAGGGGAUGUGUCACCCCACUGGGGACAGGGGACACUCUGAUGGGGAUAUGUCACCCCUCCCGACACCCUGCUGGGGACACAGGGGUUGUCACCCGGGUGACAAUUUGCUGGGGACCACGGUUGGGUCACCCUCCUGGGGACAGGGGACGUGUCACCCUGCUGGGAAAAGGGGCUGUCACUCUGCUGGGGACAGGGGACACUCUGAUGGGGACACAGUGUUGUGUCACCCUGCUGGGGACAUGUCACCCCUCCUGACACCCUGCUGGGGACACAGGGGCUGUCACCCGGGUGACAAUUUGCUGGGGACUGCGGUUGUGUCACAACACCGGGGACAGGGGACGUGUCACCCCGCUGGGGACCGGGGCUGUCACCCUGCUGGGGACAGGGGACACUCUGAUGGAGAUGUAGUGUUGUGUCACCCCACUGGGGACAGGGGACACUCUGAUGGGGAUAUGUCACCCCUCCUGACACUCUGCUGGGGACACAGAGGUUGUCACCCGGGUGACAAUUUGCUGGGGACCGUGGUUGUGUCAUGACAGCAGGGACAAGGGAUGUGUCACCCCGCUGGGGACUGAGGUUGUCACCAUGCUGGGGACAGGGGACACUCUGAUGAGGACACGGUGUUGUGUCACCCUGCUGGGGACAUGUCACCCCUCCCGACACCCUGCUGGGGACACAGGGGUUGUCACCCCCCUGAUAAUUUGCUGGGGACUGUGGUUGUGUCACAACACCGGGGACAGG
ensembl:lncRNA